GACCGCGUAGCUCAGUUGGCAGAGCAUUGGGCCAGCACCCCAAAAGGUUGUAGGUUCGAUUCCCACCAUGGUCA